GGAUUCCCUCACAGGCCAGACCUUUCUUGUCCAUAGGUACAGAAGUCUUUGCAAGAAACCAUUCAGUCCCUCAAGCUUACCAACCAGGAGCUGCUGAGGAAGGGUAGCAGUAACAACCAGGAUGUCGUCACCUGUGACAUGGCCUGCAAGGUGCUGGUACCCGGUCCUCUCCAGCCCACACGCUAUCUUACAUCUCUGUCUCAGCACACCUGGGUUGGGCCUGUAUCACAUUCCUGCCCCACCUGUCUGGAGCCCCCCACUGCCUCCAGGAUAAUGUGAAGGCUUGACGCUCUUUCGGGAAGGCCUGGCCUGAGGUCUGCCCUCAGAGGCAAAGACCAGCCCCUCGCUUCUGACAACUGUCAUCUGCUCCCCUCCCACCAGGGCCUGUUGCAGCAGGUUCAGGGUCCUCGGCUGCCCUGGACGCGGCUCCUCCUGUUGCUGCUGGUCUUCGCUGUAGGCUUCCUGUGCCAUGACCUCCGGUCACACAGCUCUUUCCAGGCCUCCCUUACUGGCCGGUUGCUUCGAUCAUCUGGCUUCUUACCUGCUAGCCAACAAGCGUGUGCCAAGCUCUUCUCCUACAGUCUGCAAGGCUACAGCUGGCUGGAGGAGACACUGCCGCUCUGGGGCUCCCACCUGCUCACCGUGGUGCGGCCCAGCUUGCAGCUGGCCUGGGCUCACACCAAUGCCACAGUCAGCUUCCUUUCUGCCCACUGUGCCUCUCACCUUGCGUGGUUUGGUGACAGUCUC
rnacentral:lncRNA from 1 species